CAGCAGGCGCGAAAACUUUACAAUGCCGGCAACGGCGAUAAGGGAACCUCGAGUGCCAGGUUACAAAUCUGGCUGUCGUGAUGCCUAAAAAGCAUUGCAUAGCAAGGGCCGGGCAAGACCGGUGCCAGCCGCCGCGGUAACACCGGCGGCUCGAGUGGUAACCGUUAUUAUUGGGUCUAAAGGGUCUGUAGCCGGCCGGGUAAGUCUCUUGGGAAAUCUGGCAGCUUAACUGUCAGGCUUUCAGGAGAUACUGCCUGGCUCGAGGCCGGGAGAGGUAAGAGGUACUACAGGGGUAGGAGUGAAAUCUUGUAAUCCCUGUGAGACCACCUGUGGCGAAGGCGUCUUACCAGAACGGGUUCGACGGUGAGGGACGAAAGCUGGGGGCACGAACCGGAUUAGAUACCCGGGUAGUCCCAGCCGUAAACGAUGCUCGCUAGGUGUCAGGCAUGGCGCGACCGUGUCUGGUGCCGCAGGGAAGCCGUGAAGCGAGCCACCUGGGAAGUACGGCCGCAAGGCUGAAACUUAAAGGAAUUGGCGGGGGAGCACA
rnacentral:rRNA from 1 species